rnacentral:tRNA from 1 species
AGCCCUGUAGUACAGCGGUCAAGUAUACGGCCCUUUGAAGGCUGUGACCCAGGUUCGAAUCCUGGCAGGGCUA